rnacentral:lncRNA from 1 species
AAAGAGCAAUCUAUCAGAGGAUAUUCCUUCCAGCAACUGAGAACCUUUCAGAGCUUGAUUGCUGUGAAUGCUCCAGCCUUUCCAAAGUGUUUUACGCCACUCUCAAAUGAGAUAACGAAGCACUUUAAUUUACUGUUCAACUCCCAAACAGAGAGAAGAGAGAGAUUCGUGUUGACAAGUCCUUGUUGUCCAGACUCACACGGAUACAGCUGUGGGGAAGGAAGGAAGGCUGCAAUGCUGCUGUUUCCAUGAACAUGCCUGGCACCCUCCAGGUGUCAGCAGGGCCAGGGGAGUGGAGAACUGGUCUCCCUCUCCGCUCCUCUACAGAACACAGUAGUGUGAGGAUUCUGUACAGGUUUUGUUGGGAAAGAAAGGAGUAAAAAGGGACUUGGGACGGAAAAUGUUUCCUCCUUUUCAAAUAAAUUGUGCAUCAGGAUGUAGAGAGAGUGGAAGAGGGAGUUCAGAGGCACCAGGUGACCAAACGUAAGAGAAAAGAACAGUCCAGGUGUGGUGGCUCACACCUGUAAUCCCAGCACUUUAGGAGGCUGAGGCGGGUGGUUCAUCUGAGGUCAGGAGUUCAAGACCAGCUUGGUCAACAUGGUGAAACCCCAUCUCUACAAAAAUACAGAAAUUAGUCAUACGUGGUGGUGGGUGCCUGUAAUCCCAGCUACUCGGGAGGCUGAGGUGGGGGAAUCGCUUGAACCCGGGAGGCGGAGGUUGCAGUGAGCCCAGUGCACUCCAGCCUGGAUGACAGAGCGAGACUCCGUCUCAAAAAAAAAAAAAAAAAAAAAAUCAGAUGACCCGCUGUGGAGCUGACUCUGUUCCCAAACCAGGAUUUUCAUCAAGCUAAAAAUCUAGGCUGGGCUGGGUGGCUCCAACCUGUAACCCCAGCACUUUGGGAGGCCGAGGUGGGCAGACUGUUUGAGCUUGGG